AUGAGGUGUGGGUAGCGGUGAAAUUCCAAUCGAACUUGGAGAUAGCUGGUUCUCCCCGAAAUAGCUUUAGGGCUAGCCUCAGGGAAAAGAUUGCAGGCGGUAGAGCACUGAUCAGGAGAGGGACCUACCCGGUUACCAAACCCAGUCAAACUCCGAAUGGCUGCAAUCAUACCUGGGAGUCAGACUGCGACUAAUAAGGGCCGUAGUCAAAAGGGAAACAGCCCAGACCAUCAGCUAAGGUCCCCAAUGCCGUGCUAAGUGGCGAAGGAUGUGGCAUUUCAUAAACAACCAGGAUGUUGGCUCAGAAGCAGCCACCAUUUAAAGAGUGCGUAAUAGCUCACUGGUCGAGAGACGCUGCGCCGAAAAUGUCCGGGGCUCAAGCACGGAACCGAAGCUAUGGCAUGAUAGCAAUAUCAUGGGUAGGGGAGCGUUCUUAUAAGGAAGAAGCAUGACCGGAAGGACAUGUGGACGAAUAAGAAGUGAGAAUGCCGGUAUGAGUAUCGAAAAGAAAGGUGAGAAUCCUUUCCACCGAAAGCCCGAGGGUUCCUGAGCAACGAUCGUCGACUCAGGGUAAGUCGGGACCUAAGCCGAGGCGAGAAGCGUAGGCGAUGGACAACAGGUUGAAAUUCCUGUACCGGAUCAAGUCGAUCGAGCGAAGGAGCGACGCAGGAGGGCACAUGAUCGCGCGGCUGGAAGAGCGCGUCCAAGUGCGUAUGUUGCUGCAGAGGAAAACCCCUGCGGCUGAAAGCAGAGACAUGAUGGGGAGUUAAAGGAAACUUUGACGAACUCAUGGAUCCCACACUGCCAAGAAAAACUUCUAGCGAGACAAGAUCCGCCCGUACCGUAAACCGACACAGGUAGGCGGGGAGAGAAUCCUAAGGUGCGCGGGAAAACCCUCGUUAAGGAACUCGGCAAAUUGCAUCCGUAACCUAGGGAGAAGGAUGGCCCCCGGUCAGUGAAGAGCAGAAACGCUCAGAGCUAAAAGGGGCGGCAGAAAAGAGGCCCAAGCAACUGUUUACCAAAAACACAGGUGCCUGCGAAAGCGAAAGCUGAAGUAUAGGUGCUGACGCCUGCCCGGUGCCGGAAGGUUAAGGAGAGAAGUUAGCGAAAGCGAAGCAUCGAACUGAAGCCCCGGUGAACGGCGGCCGUAACUAUAACGGUCCUAAGGUAGCGAAAUUCCUUGUCGGGUAAG
rnacentral:rRNA from 1 species